rnacentral:tRNA from 1 species
GCCAAUUAAGUGUUUAUACCUACGCACAUUGACUUUUCACGUCAAAAGAGCAUAUCAAAUGCAUUUGGCU